rnacentral:rRNA from 1 species
UUGGAGGGCAAGUCUGGUGCCAGCAGCCGCGGUAAUUCCAGCUCCAAUAGCGUAUAUUAAAGUUGUUGCAGUUAAAAAGCUCGUAGUUGAAUUUCGGGAUCAAUGUUUCGGUCAUGCCGUUGGUAUGUACUGAUAUUAUUGAUUUCUCACCUUCUAAAGAACCAUAAUGCCAUUAAUUUGGUGUCACGGGGAAUUAGGACUGCUACCUUGAAAAAAUUAGAGUGUUUAAAGCAGGCUCACGCUUGAAUACAUUAGCAUGGAAUAAUGAAAUAGGACAUCCGAUUCUAUUUUGUUGGUUUCUAGGAUCGAUGUAAUGAUUAAUAGGGAUAGUUGGGGGCAUUAGUAUUCAAUUGUCAGAGGUGAAAUUCUUGGAUUUAUUGAAGACUAACUACUGCGAAAGCAUUUGCCAAGGAUGUUUUCAUUAAUCAAGAACGAAAGUUAGGGGAUCGAAGACGAUCAGAUACCGUCGUAGUCUUAACCAUAAACUAUGCCGACUAGGGAUCGGAUGAUGUUAAUUUUUUAAUGACUCAUUCGGCGCCUUACGGGAAAC